CCUCCAUAGCUCAGUGGUUAGAGCGUCCAACCGGCACCUGGAAGGUCAUGGGUUCGAUUCCCGUUGGGAAGC
rnacentral:tRNA from 1 species